UACGGAGGGUGCAAGCGUUAUCCGGAUUCACUGGGUUUAAAGGGUGCGUAGGUGGGCAGGUAAGUCAGUGGUGAAAUCUCCGGGCUUAACCCGGAAACUGCCGUUGAUACUACUUGUCUUGAAUAUAGUGGAGGCGAGCGGAAUAUGUCAUGUAGCGGUGAAAUGCUUAGAUAUGACAUAGAACAUCGAUUGCGAAGGCAGCUCGCUACACUAUUAUUGACACUGAGGCACGAAAGCGUUGGGGAUCAAACAGG
rnacentral:rRNA from 1 species